UACAGGGGGUGCAAACGUUGCUCGGAAUCAUUGGGCGUAAAGCGCACGUAGGCGGUUUGUUAUGUCGGAUGUGAAAGCCCUUGGCUCAACUAAGGAAGUGCAUCCGAAACUGACAAGCUAGAGUACUAAAGAGGGUCGCGGAAUUCCCGGUGUAGAGGUGAAAUUCGUAGAUAUCGGGAGGAACACCGGUGGCGAAGGCGGCGACCUGGGUAGAUACUGACGCUGAGGUGCGAAAGCGUGGGGAGCAAACAGG
rnacentral:rRNA from 1 species